GUAGGUGGCAAGCGUUGUCCGGGAAUUAUUGGGGCAUAAGGCGCGCGCAGGCGGUUCUUUAAGUCUGAUGUGAAAGCCCACGGGCUCAACCGUGGAGGGUCAUUGGAAACUGGAGAACUUGAGUACAGAAGAGGAAAGCGGAAUUCCACGUGUAGCGGUGAAAUGCGUAGAGAUGUGGAGGAACACCAGUGGCGAAGGCGGCUUUCUGGUCUGUAACUGACGCUGAGGCGCGAAAGCGUGGGGAGCAAACAGGAUUAGAUACCCUGGUAGUCCACGCCGUAAACGAUGAGUGCUAAGUGUUAGGGGGUUUCCGCCCCUUAGUGCUGCAGCUAACGCAUUAAGCACUCCGCCUGGGGAGUACGGCCGCAAAGGCUGA
rnacentral:rRNA from 1 species